AUUUUUCCAAAUCCGAUCUUUUUUGCCUAAAUCAUGCUCUUUACAAUUCACAUUUGCAAUGCAGUGUUUAGUGAAUGAAUCUCAUGAUUGUUUAAACUCUAUAUCGGAGCAGUCUUUUCCUUCGUUCUGUGCUCCCCAGAGAGAAGCACAGCAUUCACACAUGGGGGGAAAAAAAUCACAAACAUGUUUCCAUUUAUUUUUCCACUUACUGGAUUUAUUGUUAAUUAUACUUUUCUAAUACAAUUAGACAUAAAAAAGCACCUGUAACUGGACAUGGCAUUUUAGAUUUUUCAUGUGUCUUUGAGAUCACAUUUCUUAUCCGUUCUGUGGACUGUCUAUUGUCACAAUUCGCAAUAUCUCCAGUCUGGAACCUUGCAUAGUUCUAUUCGCC